rnacentral:rRNA from 1 species
CCUGGCUCAGAUUGAAACGCUGGCGGCAGGCCUAACACAUGCAAGUCGAGCGGUAGAGAGAAGCUUGCUUCUCUUGAGAGCGGCGGACGGGUGAGUAAUGCCUAGGAAUCUGCCCGGUAGUGGGGGAUAACGUUCGGAAACGAACGCUAAUACCGCAUACGUCCUACGGGAGAAAGCAGGGGACCUUCGGGCCUUGCGCUAUCAGAUGAGCCUAGGUCGGAUUAGCUAGUUGGUGAGGUAAUGGCUCACCAAGGCGACGAUCCGUAACUGGUCUGAGAGGAUGAUCAGUCACACUGGAACUGAGACACGGUCCAGACUCCUACGGGAGGCAGCAGUGGGGAAUAUUGGACAAUGGGCGAAAGCCUGAUCCAGCCAUGCCGCGUGUGUGAAGAAGGUCUUCGGAUUGUAAAGCACUUUAAGUUGGGAGGAAGGGCAGUUACCUAAUACGUGAUUGUUUUGACGUUACCGACAGAAUAAGCACCGGCUAACUCUGUGCCAGCAGCCGCGGUAAUACAGAGGGUGCAAGCGUUAAUCGGAAUUACUGGGCGUAAAGCGCGCGUAGGUGGUUUGUUAAGUUGGAUGUGAAAUCCCCGGGCUCAACCUGGGAACUGCAUUCAAAACUGACUGACUAGAGUAUGGUAGAGGGUGGUGGAAUUUCCUGUGUAGCGGUGAAAUGCGUAGAUAUAGGAAGGAACACCAGUGGCGAAGGCGACCACCUGGACUAAUACUGACACUGAGGUGCGAAAGCGUGGGGAGCAAACAGGAUUAGAUACCCUGGUAGUCCACGCCGUAAACGAUGUCAACUAGCCGUUGAAGCCUUGAGCUUUUAGUGGCGCAGCUAACGCAUUAAGUGAGCG